GCAAAGCAUAAGCUGUUUCACAAAUCUUUGUGUGGUAUAGAUGCAUUAUUCUAUAGGUAUAUUUCUGCUAUGUGGUGAAGAGAAAACACUAAAGGAUGGUAAAGUGCAACUACAGGUGGAAUCUCCUCAAGAUAUGCAGAAUGGUACUUUUUUCUUGAGCAUGAUGUUUGUGGUACUGACUCAGGAGAGGGUAAUAUCAGCUCUGUUCCCCCUUCCGAUGGAAGUAGCAUAUCAUCCUAGUACAAACAAAUCAAGUAUUUAGAGCAGGACUCAAAUGCUGAACUCCUGACUACUAGGGAAUAAUCCUAUUUCAUAUAGAUGAAUCAAGAAUACAACCAAUAGGAUCACAGAAUCAUAUAAUGCUUUGGAUCAGAAAGGACCUUCAAAGUGUGAAAAGGUAGGAGGAAUUCAACCUGGAAUGGGGUCAGCAUAUCAAGGGAUGAGCUUCAUGACCACCACCAAUGCUGGCAAG